rnacentral:hammerhead_ribozyme from 1 species
GAACUGCUGAGUAGUUCCACAAUAGGACGAAACGGCCGUCCAGUGU